rnacentral:lncRNA from 1 species
AAAAACCUAGAGAGCUGAUUCUCUUCAAUAGCAUAAGAAUACUUUGAGAUCGGUCAGCUGUGGAAGAAAAAAAAGAUUGCGCCCAAAACAGACAAAUCUAUAGUAUUUUUUCAUAACAAAUUAACUUUUAAAAUCAAAUAAUAUUGUUAGUUGGGAUUAAUUUGCCACCUCUUUUUAAUUGAAAUGUGUGUUAUAGGGUCAAAAUGUCUAUUUGUGUAGCGUUCAAUUGCACCUCCAGGACGGUAAUUUUCACUCAAUCUUUCAAGACUAAUGAUUAACCUCGUGGAUUGAAUGAGAAUGCCAUUAAUUUUUUCAUUCUCUUGGAACGACCCGUGCAGCUUAGACUGUAUCAACUCCUCAUGAGCAAUAAAAUGUUAAAAGUACCGUGGAAUCGACUCCAACCUAAUUAUGUAAUAAGUAUGUAAAUUUAUGUUGUAUAUAUUGGCAAGUAUUUUCCUUAUAUUUCGUAGAAAAGUAAUAAACAUAAUUUGAAGGAG